GCCCGGAUGGCGGAAUUGGUAGACGCGCUGGUCUCAAACACCAGUGGUAGCAAUAUCGUGCCGGUUCGACCCCGGCUCCGGGUAC
rnacentral:tRNA from 2 species